CCUAAGAAGUAAGUGGUGUCCCUUUCAGGAGUGUUGAUGUCGAGUGUUAAUGUGAAGUUCCACUCUCAUUUGUCUGGGUACAAUUUCCUUCAACAGUUGGAAGCGUUUUGGGGACUCUCUCGCCCCCUUCAGGCUAAAGGAGGAAGAACAUCGUGACGUACCUGUGCAGGAGUUGCGGAGAGAGAGUCCGUGGAAGGUUUCAGACAAGGACUUGGAAGCCUUAAGACCAAAGUCUGAGAGGAAGGUGCGUCUGAAUGAGAUCAUUCGAAGGAAUUCCAAGCACGCUGCUCUGGUCAUUGUGAGUUUGCCUGUACCCCAGAGUGACUGUCCCAGCUCUCUCUACAUGGCCUGGCUGGACUCUCUGACCUGUGGCCUCCACUGUCCAGCUCUGCUCAUACGAGGCAACCAGCAGAAUGUGCUCACCUUCUACUGCCAGUGAAGAGGAAGACACACUCCGCUGGGCCUUAAUGGACCUCUGGUGGACCUUCCCUAUUGUUAUCAUUCAUUGCCUGGGCCUCUAUGGGUGGUAUUAACUCCUGCAACGAGUGACUUGUUUGUUCACCUCAACUCUUGCUUCUGAAGGAAAGUGUUUAGUGGGAAAGUUGAAUGUCUUUUUGCAGUAAAUGUGUAGGGAACAUAGACUUAUAAUAGACUGUGAUUGCUUAUUGGCCUUCUGAAGCCAAGCAGCCAAAGUGCAUUGGAUGGGGGCUGCUGCUGUCGCUCUACCUGCUAAAAUAGCUUUAGACUAAAGGGCCAUAAGAGUUGAAUACUGAUCUGCCUGUUUCAUGUUUAUGUAAUGGAACUAUGGUUAGCUAUGUGACCUAAUUUCCUGUUGCCUGAAAAAACAGGUGGCAUUUCUUUGUUACAUCACUUCCUGACCCAGUGGAGAGCUGUGACCAUUAGAUGCUUGAGAAACUAU